CCUACGGGAGGCAGCAGUAAGGAAUAUUGGUCAAUGGGCGCAAGCCUGAACCAGCCAUGCCGCGUGCAGGAAGACGGCCCUAUGGGUUGUAAACUGCUUUUGAACAAGAGAAAACCUCGGUACGUGUACCGAGCUGAUAGUAUUGUUAGAAUAAGCAUCGGCUAACUUCGUGCCAGCAGCCGCGGUAAGACGAAGGAUGCAAGCGUUAUCCGGAUUCAUUGGGUUUAAAGGGUGCGUAGGCGGCCUGAUAAGUCAGUGGUGAAAUCUCUCAGCUUAACUGAGAAACUGCCAUUGAUACUGUCGGGCUUGAGUACAGAUGAUGUGGGCGGAAUAUGACAUGUAGUGGUGAAAUACUUAGAUAUGUCAUAGAACACCGAUUGCGAAGGCAGCUCACAAAACUGUAACUGACGCUGAGGCACGAAAGUGCGGGGAUCAAACAGGAUUAGAUACCCUGGUAGUCCGCACCGUAAACGAUGAUUACUCGUUGUUGGCAAUAUGACCGUCAGCGACCAAGCGAAAGCGAUAAGUAAUCCACCUGGGGAGUACGCCGGCAACGGUGAAACUUAAAUGAAUUGACGG
rnacentral:rRNA from 1 species